UCGGCCAGCCACAACUCCAAGAAUACGCGGAGGAGGUGGCCCGGGUCGGCGUCGGCGCCAUCCGGCGCGGACCACGGGCCCGCUUCCCAGUGCGCCUGCGCGCCGGCCACCCACGUCGGGUCCUUCAAGUGCCGCUUCCACCGCACCAGCUCCCAGGGCCACGGCCACGGCCACGGCCAGGGAAGCCGCCCUUCUUCGCCCCCUUCACCGGCCGCGGCCAACGCGGUGCCGCGGCACCCGGCCUCGCCAUCCUCGUCCUCCGGCACCCUCGCGACCCAGUGA
rnacentral:rRNA from 1 species